CAGUCGCCACGGUAAUACGUAGGGUGCAAGCGUUAAUCGGAAUUACUGGGCGUAAAGCGUGCGCAGGCGGUUUGUUAAGACAGAUGUGAAAGCCCCGGGCUCAACCUGGGAACUGCAUUUGUGACUGUCAAGCUAGAGUGUGGCAGAGGGGGGUGGAAUUCCGCGUGUAGCAGUGAAAUGCGUAGAUAUGCGGAGGAACACCGAUGGCGAAGGCAGCCCCCUGGGCCAACACUGACGCUCAUGUACGAAAGCGUGGGGAGCAAACAGGAUUAGAUACCCCCGUAGUCCCUGUCUCUUAUAC
rnacentral:rRNA from 1 species